rnacentral:tRNA from 1 species
GGUAUAUUAGCUAAAUGGUAAAGCAUAGUAGUAUUUAGGCUACUAAAAUAUGAGUUCAAGUCUCGUAUAUGCCG